AUGACUGGCUUGUGGCAGCCAAGCGUUCAUAGCAACGUUGCUUUUUGAUCCUUCGAUGUCGUCUCUUUCUAUCCUUGCUUCGUUAGAAUUCGAGGUCGUGUCGUUGAUGCUGUUGCGGAAUCAGGGGUUCGGCGGUGGUGGUGCGAU
rnacentral:ncRNA from 1 species